rnacentral:rRNA from 1 species
UACAGAGGGUGCAAGCGUUGUUCGGAUUCACUGGGCGUAAAGGGUGCGUAGGUGGUGGGGUAAGUCGGAUGUGAAAGCUCGGAGCUCAACUCCGAAAUGGCAUUGGAAACUACCCUGCUAGAGGAUUGGAGGGGGGACUGGAAUACUUGGUGUAGCAGUGAAAUGCGUAGAUAUCAAGUGGAACACCAGUGGCGAAGGCGAGUCCCUGGACAAUACCUGACACUGAGGCACGAAAGCUAGGGGAGCAAACAGG